UCACGGCUACACGUCUGAAAACACUGUUUCACUUUCAGAAGCAGUGGGAUACCUCAUUCAACACGUCCCGAAACAGAAAACCUGAAACAUGCAGGAAGCCAAAGGACUCCUCCAGUUCUUCCUCUGAGUAUCCCAUGGCCCUCUUACAAGUCCGGAAGGCCUCGUACUGUGAAACAACAAGCAAGAGAGGCUCUUCAAAUCUGAUUCUCCUCUGUUCUUCAUCCUCCUAGCUCAGGGGUGGGCAAUAUUGUUCACUGGGGGGUCACAUUGAAAAUGCCAGAGAGCAUCACGGGCCAUCACCUACAAGACGCACAACAUGGCUGACUGUUAAUUGCAUAUUAUAUUUAUGCAUAUUUAUUUUCCAUGCAACACCAUUUUCAUAAUCUAACUUAAUUUAUAUUAACUAUGUUUUUUGUAUAACACUCUUGUUAACAACUGUUAUUAUGACAGGCAAUGGCCAAAGAAAUCCCUUUUCAAGGUUAUUACUCAACGGAAAUGUUGCAACACAUAUUUACCUUAAAACGUAACUUUCAACCUAACAGAGUAGGGUAUAUUACAUGAGGUAUGUUGUUAACAAGUUAUUAGGGCAGACAUAAGUCUAUGAAAUCACUUCUGAAGGUGAUCACUCAAUGCAAAUGUUGGUAUCAUUGCCGUUAUUUAACUUCACAUAGUAUAUUUUUUGUACUGCAUGCUUUUAACAAGUUAUUCCAGCAGCCCAGACCCAAGAAAUCGACUUUUAGGGCUACUCACUCAUUAUUAACAGGAGAGCCUCGUAUGGGCGUUCACAAGUGAGGUGAAGUCAGGAGUCAUUUCUGUUGAAGCAGUGUGCGGUACUGCUGCAAGACAGUUUUUUGUAUUUGGUCGCAUGCUUGCUCUGGAAGUGCCUCUGCAAACGUUAGCUUUACAUAUUAAAAAAGUUUAUUUGAACAAAUGAUAACUUCCGCGUAUGGGUUGUGGUGCUGGACCCUACAUAUCAUAGCAACGCAAAUAGCUUGUUUCAACUUAAAUGUAUUUUAAACAGACAGUAUGAUACUGAUGUACUUAUUACUGGGAGUGCCACAGGACUUUUAAUUUGAAAUAUAAUAAAUGAAGUAACGUAAUCUGCAGACCUCGUCAAGUAUUUUUAUUUUGUAUUAUUUUUUAAGUUUUAGAUGUAUCACAGGCUGGAUAUAACAACUCAGCAGGCUGGAUCCGGCUCGGGGCCUUAUCUUACCCAGGUCUGUCCUAGCUAGAUCAAUCAGCUACCUUGGACACUGUGAGGCAUCCGAUAUUCCCCACGGGGCACCUCAGUGUCUACACCAUGUGAUAGAAAUCUGGCAAUAACCCCUACAUCCUGCAUCCUACCUGGCAGGCCAAACCUAUCAAAUGCAUUUCUGAUAUGUUUGAAGAGUAUAAACCGAGCAGGGCUCUUAGAUCCAUGAACUCAGUCCAGCUAACAGAGACCAGAGGCCAAACUAAACAUGGCGAAGCUGCGUUUAGCAGUUAUGUCGCACACAACUGGGAUAAACUACCAGAAGAUCUUAAAUGUUUCCCAAACAUAUCAAUUUUUAAAUCCAGGUUAAAAACACUUCUCUUUUCACUCAUCUAUGACUGAUCGCUUAAACUUGACCAAAAUGUU